rnacentral:rRNA from 1 species
CAGUAGGGAAUCUUCCACAAUGGACGCAAGUCUGAUGGAGCAACGCCGCGUGAGUGAAGAAGGUCUUCGGAUCGUAAAACUCUGUUGUUAGAGAAGGACACGAGUGAGAGUAACUGUUCAUUCGAUGACGGUAUCUAACCAGCAAGUCACGGCUAACUACGUGCCAG